rnacentral:rRNA from 1 species
AUUGAACGCUGGCGGCAGGCCUAACACAUGCAAGUCGAGCGAGCGGCGGACGGGUGAGUAAUGUCUGGGAAACUGCCUGAUGGAGGGGGAUAAAUACUGGAAACGGUAGCUAAUACCGCAUACCAUCAGAUGUGCCCAGAUGGGAUUAGCUCGUAGGUGGGGUAAUGGCCCACCUAGGCGACGAUCCCUAGCUGGUCUGAGAGGAUGACCAGCCACACUGGAAAUGAGACACGGUCCAGACGCAUACGGGAGGCAACAGUGGGGAAUAUGGCACAGUGGGCGCAAGCCGGAUGCAUCCAUGCCGCGUGUGUGAAGAAGGCCUUCGGGUUUUAAAGCACUUUCAGCGGGGAGGCGUUACCCGCAGAAGAAGCACCGGCUAACUCCGUGCCAGCAGCCGCGGUAAUAC